UACGAAGGGGGCUAGCGUUGUUCGGAAUUACUGGGCGUAAAGCGCACGUAGGCGGACUAUUAAGUCAGGGGUGAAAUCCCGGGGCUCAACCCCGGAACUGCCUUUGAUACUGGUAGUCUCGAGUCCGGAAGAGGUGACUGGAAUUCCUGGUGUAGCGGUGAAAUGCGCAGAUAUCAGGAGGAACACCCGUGGCUAAGGCGGCUCUCUAGUACGGUACUGACGCUGAGACGCGAAAGCGUGGGGAGCAAACAGG
rnacentral:rRNA from 1 species